rnacentral:misc_RNA from 1 species
GGGCAUACAAUCCUAACUUUUCCAUAGAAGCCUCGUGAUAGCAGACAACGAAAUUUCAAUCCCUGUUAUGGUGAAGGCCAGAUUCAAAAGAAGGGGGAAAAUAAAGAAAUUGUUGCUCCAAUCAGAAAAUCAGAGCAAACUGAGAAGAUGUUAGGCGGGAGGUUGACAAAUACUAAAACACAAAUGAAAAUCAUUACUCAGAAAUCCUUUGCAUCUGAGAGAAUCAGAUUCAAU